rnacentral:rRNA from 1 species
CCCUUAGAUGUCCGGGGCCGCACGCGCGCUACACUGAAGGAAUCAGCGUGGCUUUCUCCCUGACCCGAAAGGGUUGGGAAACCCGUUGAAUCUCCUUCGUGAUAGGGAUUGGGGCUUGAAAUUGUUCCCCAUGAACGAGGAAUUCCCAGUAAGCGCGAGUCAUAAGCUCGCGUUGAUUACGUCCCUGCCCUUUGUACACACCGCCCGUCGCUCCUACCGAUUGAGUGGCCCGGUGAGGCUUUGGGAUCUGAGCGGAAAGAGCGUUUCGCUGUUUCUGCUCGGAAAACUCAGUCGAACCUUAUCAUUUAGAGGAAGGAGAAGUCGUAACA